AAAGAGAUCUUAUCGAUGGAGGAAUAUUUUCAGGUACUCAAUCACAAAGGCAUUUUGCAUUGCGUUUGUGAUGACUUUCUUCAGUGCAUUUGAUGUCCCCGUGUUCUGGCCGAUACUCCUCUUCUACUGGGUGGUCCUAUUCACGCUUACUAUGAGGAGACAAAUAGCUCACAUGAUCAAGUACAAAUAUGUACCAUUCUCAUUUGGAAAACAGCGCUAUGAUGGGAAGAGAGCAUCAGCAGAAAGCACUAGAGUUUCGGAGGACUGA